GCUCUCGUAGCUCAGUGGUUAGAGCCUUGGUCUUAUGAGCCAAAGGUCGCCAGUUCGAACCUGGUCGAGAGCA
rnacentral:tRNA from 1 species